rnacentral:rRNA from 1 species
GUGGCGAACGGGUGAGUAACACGUGAGUAACCUGCCCUUGACUCUGGGAUAACUGCUAGAAAUGGUAGCUAAUACCGGAUACGACCCUCGGCCGCAUGGUCAGGGGGUGGAAAGAAUUUUGGUCAAGGAUGGACUCGCGGCCUAUCAGGUAGUUGGUGAGGUAAUGGCUCACCAAGCCUACGACGGGUAGCCGGCCUGAGAGGGUGACCGGCCACACUGGGACUGAGACACGGCCCAGACUCCUACGGGAGGCAGCAGUGGGGAAUAUUGCACAAUGGGCGCAAGCCUGAUGCAGCGACGCCGCGUGAGGGAUGACGGCCUUCGGGUUGUAAACCUCUCGCCAGGGACGAAGCGCGAGUGACGGUACCUGGAUAAGAAGCACCGGCUAACUACGUGCCAGCAGCCGCGGUAAUACGUAGGGUGCGAGCGUUGUCCGGAAUUAUUGGGCGUAAAGAGCUCGUAGGUGGUUGGUCACGUCUGCU